CGGUGAAUACGUUCCCGGACCUUGCACACACCGCCCGUCAAACCAUGGAAGUCAGGUGUACCUAAAGUCGGUAACCGUAAGGAGCCGCCUAGGGUAAAACUGAUGACUGGGGCU
rnacentral:rRNA from 1 species